rnacentral:rRNA from 1 species
UACGUAGGGUGCUAACGUUGUUCGGAAUCACUGGGCAUAAAGAGCGCGUAGGCGGUCUGAUAAGUCAGGUGUGAAAUCCCCCGGCUCAACCGGGGAACUGCACCUGAUACUGUUGGGCUUGAGUGCAGGAGGGGAGAGCGGAAUUCCUGGUGGAGCGGUGAAAUGCGUAGAUAUCAGGAGGAACGCCGGCGGCGAAAGCGGCUCUCUGGCCUGUCUACUGACGCUGAGGCGCGAAAGCGUGGGGAGCAAACAGG